rnacentral:snoRNA from 7 species
CAGGCUGUGAUGAUUGGCGCAGGGGUACGGACCUCAGCUGAGUCAUGGGAGCUGAAUGUAUGUGUUUUGCCUCUGUCCUGCAUGUGGCAGGCUGUUGGCAUUCACAUACAUGAGACUGUUGCCUUAAUCUGAGCCUG